GCAGCACGGACUUCGGUCUGGUGGCGAGUGGCGAACGGGUGAUAAUGUAAUGGAACGUGCCUAGUAGCGGGGAUAACUACGCGAAGCGGGCUACUACCGCAAUACGCCCUUCGGGGGAAAGCGUGGGACCUUUCGCCUCGCACUAUUAGAGCGGCCGAUAUCGGAUUAGCUAGUUGGUGGGGUAACGGCUCACCAAGCGGACGAUCCGUAGCUGGUUUGAGGACGACCAGCCACACUGACUGAGACACGGCCCAGACUCCUACGGAGGCAGCAGUGGGAAUUUUGGACAAUGGGGAAACCCGAUCCAGCCAUCUCGCGUGCGAUGAAGGCCUUCGGGUUGUAAAGCACUUUUGGCAGGAAAGAAAUGGCACGGGAUAAUACCCUGUGCAACUGACGGUACCUGUACAAGCACCGGCUAACUACGUGCCAGCAGCCAUGGCAUGUAAAAAAAGUGUUAAUCGGAAUUACUGGGCGUAAAGCGUGCGCAGGCGGUUCGGAAAGAAAGAUGUGAAAUCCCCAGAGCUUAACUUUUGGAACUGCAUUUUUAACUACCGAGCUAGAGUGUGUCAGAGGGAGGUGGAAUUCCUGCGUGUAGCAGUGAAAAAUGCGUAGAUAUGCGGAGGAACACCGACAUGAAGGCAGCCUCCUGGGAUAACACUGACGCUCACGCACGAAAGCGUGGGGAGCAAACAGGAUUAGAUACCCUGCAGGUCCACGCCCUAAACGAUGUCAACUAGCUGUUGGGGCCUUCGCCUGGUAGCAGCUAACGUGAAGUUGACCGUCUGGGGAGUACGGUCGCAGAUUAAAACUCCAGGCGAAUUGACGGGGACCCGCACAAGCGGUGGAUGAUGUGGAUUAAUUCGAUGCAACGAAAAACCUUACCUACCCUUGACAUGUCUGGAAUCCCGAAGAGAUUUGGGAGUGUCAGCAAGAGAACCGGAACACAGGUGCUGCAUGGUUGUCGUCAGCUCGUGUCGUGAGAUGUUGGGUUAAGUCCCGCAACGAGCGCAACCCUUUGUCAUUAGCCGCUACGAAAGGGCACUCUAUCGAGAUUGCCGGUGACAAACCGGAGGAAGGUGGGGAUGACGUCAAGUCCUUCAUGGCUCCUAUGGGUAGGGAAGCCCCACACGUCAUACAAUGGUCGGGACAGAGUGGCCGCCAACCCGCGAGGGGGGAGCUAAUCCCAGAAACCCGAUCAGUCCGAUCGCAGUCUGCACCCGAUCGCGUGAAGUCGCAAUCGCUAGUAAUCGCGGAUCAGCAUGUCGCGGUGAAUACGUUCCCGGUUCGAAGACGCACUGCUCGCCGACUAAGGGAGUGGGUUUUACCAGAAGUAAAGUUAGCCUAACCGUAAGGGGAGGGCGAUUACCACGGUAGGAUUCAUGACUGGGGUGAAGUCAACACAGUAG
rnacentral:rRNA from 1 species